AAUCAACGCUGGCGGCGUGCCUAACACAUGCAAGUCGAACGCGAAAGCCCCGCAAGGGGUUAGUAGAGUGGCAAACGGGUGAGUAACACGUGGGUGACCUGCCUUCGAGUGGGGGAUAACGUCCCGAAAGGGACGCUAAUACCGCAUGACAUCCUGCUUUUGGAGAAGCGGAGAUCAAAGCUGGGGAUCGCAAGACCUGGCGCUUGAAGAGGGGCCCGCGCCUGAUUAGCUAGUUGGNGGGUAACGCCUACCAAGGCGACGAUCAGUAUCCGGCCUGAGAGGGCGGACGGACACACUGGGACUGAGACACGGCCCAGACUCCUACGGGAGGCAGCAGUGGGGAAUUGUUCGCAAUGGGCGCAAGCCUGACGACGCAACGCCGCGUGGAGGACGAAGAUC
rnacentral:rRNA from 1 species